CCUACGGGAGGCAGCAGUAAGGAAUAUUGGUCAAUGGACGCAAGUCUGAACCAGCCAUGCCGCGUGAAGGAUUAAGGUCCUCUGGAUUGUAAACUUCUUUUAUCUGGGACGAAAAAAGGCGAUUCUUCGUCACUUGACGGUACCAGAUGAAUAAGCACCGGCUAACUCCGUGCCAGCAGCCGCGGUAAUACGGAGGGUGCAAGCGUUAUCCGGAUUCACUGGGUUUAAAGGGUGCGUAGGCGGGCAGGUAAGUCAGUGGUGAAAUCCUAGAGCUUAACUCUAGAACUGCCAUUGAUACUAUCUGUCUUGAAUAUUGUGGAGGUAAGCGGAAUAUGUCAUGUAGCGGUGAAAUGCUUAGAUAUGACAUAGAACACCUAUUGCGAAGGCAGCUUACUACGCAUAUAUUGACGCUGAGGCACGAAAGCGUGGGGAUCAAACAGGAUUAGAUACCCUGGUAGUCCACGCCCUAAACGAUGAUUACUCGACAUUUGUGAUACACUAUAAGUGUCUGAGAGAAGANAUAAGUAAUACUACCGUUGGAGUACGACCGCGAGUUAGAAGUUAAAGUAAGUUAGAGGCGNGAGAGNGCGAGGCGACGACGAGGAGGAGG
rnacentral:rRNA from 1 species